GCUACGAUGGUUAGCUGGUUUGAGAGAAUGAUCAGCCACACUGGAACUGAGACACGGUCCAGACUCCUACGGGAGGCAGCAGUGGGGAAUUUUGCGCAAUGGGCGAAAGCCUGACGCAGCAACGCCGCGUGAGUGAUGAAGGCUUUCGGGUCGUAAAGCUCUGUCGAGGGGAAAGAAGUGUAUUGUGGCUAAUAUCCACGAUACUUGACGGUACCCCUAAAGGAAGCACCGGCUAACUCCGUGCCAGCAGCCGCGGUAAUACGGGGGGUGCAAGCGUUGUUCGGAAUUAUUGGGCGUAAAGAGCGUGUAGGCGGUUUGCUGAGUCUGAUGUGAAAGCCCUGGGCUCAACCCAGGAAGUGCAUUGGAAACUGUCAGACUUGAAUACGGGAGAGGGCAGUGGAAUUCCUAGUGUAGGAGUGAAAUCCGUAGAUAUUAGGAGGAACACCGGUGGCGAAGGCGGCUGCCUGGACCGAUAUUGACGCUGAGACGCGAAAGCGUGGGUAGCAAACAGGAUUAGAUACCCUGGUAGUCCACGCCGUAAACGAUGAGAACUAGGUGUUGCGGGUAUUGACCCCUGCAGUGCCGCAGCUAACGCAUUAAGUUCUCCGCCUGGGAAGUACGGUCGCAAGACUAAAACUCAAAGGAAUUGACGG
rnacentral:rRNA from 1 species